GACGAACGCUGGCGGCGUGCUUAACACAUGCAAGUCGAACGGAAAGGCCCGGCUUUUGUGGGUUGCUCGUGUGGCGAACGGGUGAGUAACACGUGAGUAACCUGCACUUGUCUUUGGGAUAACUUCAGGGAACUGGGGCUAAUACCGGAGAGGAUCUCCUGCUGCGUGGUGGGGGUUGGAGAGUUUCGGCGGUGGGGGAUGGACUGGCUGCUUAUCAGCUGGUUUGGGGGGUAGUGGCGUUCCAAGGCUUCGAGGGGUAGGCGGCCUGGGAGGGGGACCGGCCACCUGGGGACUGCGAUACGGCCCAGUAGCCUACGGGCCGCAACAGGGGGGAAUCUUGCACAAUGGGGGGACGCGUGAUGCAGCAACGCCGCGUGCGGGAUGCCGGCCUUCGGGUUGUAAACAGCUUUGGACGGUGCCGAAGCGUGAGUGACGGUAAUGGGUAAAGAAGCACCGGCUAACUACGUG
rnacentral:rRNA from 1 species